CUCGGGAGUCUUGAAUUUCAAGAGGAUAUUAUUUGAAAUUGUAAGUGGAAAUUCAUGGAAAUUAUUUUCGGCAAUUGAAGAUUUACUAAGAAGCUAUUUUCGGAUAUAAGCGGAAUGAAAAAAUUGAAGAGACGGUUUACCUGAACUUGGCCGGGCCGUCACGGUUCCUCGAUUGCCGAAUGCAGUCGUCAGCUGAGUGCCACGACCUACUACGUGUGACGUCAUAUAUAGCGCACGAGGCUGAUGGAUUAACAUUAGCAUUGACGGCCGCCUAAAUAUAUUAACAAGGAAACAAAGUUAUGGUGAUUAGAAUUGGGAUCGCAAAUAGUUUUGUUAUCGGACGAGCGAGGGUCACUGGAAGAUUGAUAGUCACGUGAAGGAGGCUCGUACCGCAUGUGAUCACCGUUGGCACCCUCUUCCCCGUCGCCGACUGAAUAACCGGAAUGAUAAAACGUAUCUAUUACAUGCUAACACGUGCAGGAAGUUGUGCGUAAUUGUCCCACAUACACAACAAUGAACAUUCAAGCGAAGAAAUAAAAAUUACACAAAGAAAUGUCUCGUAAGGAAGUUUCCUGCCCAAACUGAAGAAUUUUUUCUCAUUCUCAUGAUUGAGGCAUUAACCAAAUGUACGAACCAAAAAGAAUUUCAUCAUCAUGAUGGAGGAUGUGUAUUAAUGAAUAUUUAGAGGCAAAGAGGCAUAUAUUAUACAAAUCUGGGCGAGAUCAUCGUCUGUGUCAGUUUGAUCACAAGCAAUCGCAUUUUCUUCGCAUUUUUUUUCGCAUUUUUAUGAAUUAAUAACCACUGGAAGAUGACAAAAUAUUCGCAGUCGGUAGGAUUCGAACCUACGCUCCCAGAGGGAAUCUGAUUUCUAGUCAGACGCCUUAACCACUCGGCCACGACUGCAUUUUUUUUUUUACUUAAAGAGUUUAUUGCCAUCAUAUACAUAUAUACAGUGUAUGUACAAGUAGUAAUACUCAAUAGCCAGAUCUACAGCC